UACAGAGGGUGCGAGCGUUAUUCGGAAUUACUGGGCGUAAAGCGCGCGUAGGCGGCUUUGCAAGCCGGAUGUGAAAUCCCCGGGCUUAACCUGGGAACUGCAUUCGGGACUGCAUUGCUAGAGUAUGGGAGAGGGAAGUGGAAUUUCAGGUGUAGCGGUGAAAUGCGUAGAUAUCGGGAGGAACAUCAGUGGCGAAAGCGGCUUCCUGGACCAGUACCGACGUUCAGGCACGAAAGCGUGGGGAGCGAACAGG
rnacentral:rRNA from 1 species